UACAUCAUUUCUGCAACCAUGUCAGGAAUGAAAUACGAUUUCGUAUUGGGUGCUGGUGUGAAUGGAGGUGGCUACUUUCUAUCUUUGAGAAGCUCCAUCAUCAAAAGAUCUGAAGCUCCAAUGGUGCAAUGAAAUAUUUGCUGCCUGGAAAAGCCCUUCCAGAUUUGAACAAAAAAGUGAUCAGAGUACCAACUGGAAAUUAUUAGAAACCUCAGUAUAAAGGUGGAAGAAUUCAUCAGGCAAAUUGGAAAGACAGAAUGAGGUGGGAAAACAGAAGACUAGAAACAAAGAAAAAUGAGAAUAAUAUAGGAAUAUAUGAUCUAAGCUUUACAAUGAAAGAGAAGGAAAAAAGUACAAAAAGGAAUAAAAUGUGCUAUUAAAAAAAAAAAAAAAAGUAAUGUGGUAAAUUUGCACUCCUUGUGCCCAAGGGUACAUUUUUUUCUCCAAGUGCCUCUUAGCUUGUGGUUUAAAUCAAUAAGAAAUUAGACUUCCAGACUUUCCAUUUCCUUUCAUGUUGUCCAGUCAUUACAUCCCACAGAGAUGAAAAAGAUUACCACUGUGGAGAAAGGGUAAAGAGAAUUCAGACUGGAAGCAUCUCUCUAAAACUGAACCUGACCUAACAGGUCCACUAUCUCAAAGCAGUUAUCCCUGUUCUUAAUGAUAAGCAUGCAUGUACUGCUGCUGAUUUCAGCUUAAUGUGUUUUAACUCACUUGCACCCUUAUAGGAGAAUUGUUCAAAUAUGUUUUAGUACCCAGUUGCUUCUUCGGCCAGAAUGUAACUAACUAAAAAAUAAAAGUAGCCAUCUGAGUAGCAGAAACACUGAGGCCUGGUUUCCAGUACAUUUUAGAAGGAUUUUCUG